UCCUCCCUCUGUCGGCGUGCUUAACACAUGCAAGUCGAACGGAAAGGCCCUGCUUUUGUGGGGUGCUCGAGUGGCGAACGGGUGAGUAACACGUGAGUAACCUGCCCUUGACUUUGGGAUAACUUCAGGAAACUGGGGCUAAUACCGGAUAGGAGCUCCUGCUGCAUGGUGGGGGUUGGAAAGUUUCGGCGGUUGGGGAUGGACUCGCGGCUUAUCAGCUUGUUGGUGGGGUAGUGGCUUACCAAGGCUUUGACGGGUAGCCGGCCUGAGAGGGUGACCGGCCACAUUGGGACUGAGAUACGGCCCAGACUCCUACGGGAGGCAGCAGUGGGGAAUAUUGCACAAUGGGCGGAAGCCUGAUGCAGCAACGCCGCGUGCGGGAUGACGGCCUUCGGGUUGUAAACCGCUUUCGCCUGUGACGAAGCGUGAGUGACGGUAAUGGGUAAAGAAGCACCAGCUAACUACGUG
rnacentral:rRNA from 1 species